rnacentral:rRNA from 1 species
GAUGAACGCUAGCGGCAGGCUUAACACAUGCAAGUCGAGGGGCAGCGCGGGAUAGCAAUAUCCUGGCGGCGACCGGCGGAAGGGUGCGUAACGCGUGAGCGACAUGCCCGUUGCCCGGGGACAACCGGUGGAAACGCCGACUAAUCCCCGAUGGGAUAUUGUGCCGCAUGGCACGAUAUUGAAAGUUACGGCGGCGACGGAUUGGCUCGCGUCCGAUUAGCUUGUUGGCGGGGUAACGGCCCACCAAGGCUGCGAUCGGUAGGGGUUCUGAGAGGAAGGCCCCCCAAAAUGGGACUGAGACACGGCCCAUACUCCUACGGGAGGCAGCAGUGAGGAAUAUUGGUCAAUGGGCGGAAGCCUGAACCAGCCAUGCCGCGUGCGGGAAGGAGGCCCUAUGGGCUGUGAACCGCUUUUGCCUGGGGGCAAUAAGGGCGUCGCGCACGUCCGAUGAGAGUACCAGGCGAAUAAGCAUCGGCUAACUCCGUG